GCUACAUCAUGAACCAGACAGCUCUGCUUUCCCAUCCCCGCAGUCAGAACUAAACAUGGAGGAGCAGCGUUCAGUUUUUAAUGCACCACGUAUGUG